UGGGUCCUGCUCACCUCGAAGUCCUAAGUUUAUACUUGGGAUACGUGAGCUCACAUAGGGGAAGCGGGACCCA
rnacentral:sRNA from 1 species